GAUGAAGAACGUAGUGAAAUGCGAUAAGUAAUGUGAAUUGUAGAAUUCAGUGAAUCAUCGAAUCUUUGAACGCACAUUGCGCCCGCCAGUAUUCUGGCGGGCAUGCCUGUCCGAGCGUCAUUUCAACCAUCAAGCCCCGGGCUUGUGUUGGGGACCUGCGUCCGACGCAGGCCCUGAAAACCAGUGGCGGGCUCGCUGUCCACACCGAGCGUAGUAACUAACCUCGCUAUGGAGUGGCGCGGGCGCCUGCCGUAAAACCCCCAAUUUUUACAAGGUUGACCUCGGAUCAGGUAGGAAUACCCGCUGAACUUAAGCAUAUCAAUAAGCGGAGGA
rnacentral:misc_RNA from 1 species